AAACUUAAAUGAAUUGACGGGACCCGCACAAGCAGCGGAGCGUGUGGUUUAAUUCGUUGCUACACGAAGAACCUUACCUGGGUUUGACAUAUAGGUUGUAGGGAACUGAAAAGGGACCGACCCUUCGGGAGCCUAUACAGGUGUUGCAUGGCUGUCGUCAGCUUCGUGUCGUGAGAUGUUCGGUUAAGUCCGCUAACGAGCGCAACCCUCGUCGUAUGUUAUAUGUGUCAUACGAGACUGCCGGUAAAAGCCGGAGGAAGGUGAGGAUGAUGUCAAGUCAGCAUGACCUUUAUAUCCAGGGCUACACACACGCUACAAUGGUCUGUACAAUGGGUAGCCAAGCCGCGAGGCGGAGCCAAUCCUGAAAGCAGGCCUCAGUUCAGAUUGCAGUCUGCAACUCGACUGCAUGAAGCCGGAGUUGCUAGUAACCGCAGGUCAGCAAUACUGCGGUGAAUACGUUCCCGGGUCUU
rnacentral:rRNA from 1 species